AGGACGAACGCUGGCGGCGUGCUUAACACAUGCAAGUCGAGCGGUAAGGCCCUUUCGGGGGUACACGAGCGGCGAACGGGUGAGUAACACGUGGGUGACCUGCCCUUAGCUCUGGGAUAAGCCUGGGAAACUGGGUCUAAUACCGGAUAUGACCUCGCGAUGCAUGUCGUGGGGUGGAAAGCCUUGUGCGGCUAGGGAUGGGGCCCGCGGCCUAUCAGCUUGUUGGUGGGGUGAUGGCCUACCAAGGCGACGACGGGUA
rnacentral:rRNA from 1 species